rnacentral:rRNA from 1 species
AGUGAACGCUGGCGGUAGGCCUAACACAUGCGAGUCGAACGGCAGCACAGUAAGAGCUUGCUCUUACGGGUGGCGAGUGGCGGACGGGUGAGGAAUACAUCGGAAUCUACUUUUUCGUGGGGGAUAACGUAGGGAAACUUACGCUAAUACCGCAUACGACCUACGGGUGAAAGCAGGGGAUCUUCUGACCUUGCGCGAUUGAAUGAGCCGAUGUCGGAUUAGCUAGUUGGCGGGGUAAAGGCCCACCAAGGCGACGAUCCGUAGCUGGUCUGAGAGGAUGAUCAGCCACACUGGAACUGAGACACGGUCCAGACUCCUACGGGAGGCAGCAGUGGGGAAUAUUGGACAAUGGGCGCAAGCCUGAUCCAGCCAUACCGCGUGGGUGAAGAAGGCCUUCGGGUUGUAAAGCCCUUUUGUUGGGAAAGAAAAGCAGCAGGUUAAUACCCCGCUGUUCUGACGGUACCCAAAGAAUAAGCACCGGCUAACUUCGUG